rnacentral:rRNA from 1 species
GAUGAACGCUGGCGGCGUGCCUAAUACAUGCAAGUCGAACGCAUUGUGGUUGAAAUGAUAUGAAGAACUUGUUCAGAUUUGAUUUUCAACAUUGCAAUGAGUGGCGAACGGGUGGGUAACACGUGGGAAACCUACCUCUUAGCAGGGGAUAACAUUUGGAAACAAAUGCUAAUACCGUAUAAUAAUUAAAACCGCAUGGUUUUAGUUUAAAAGAUGGUCUUGCUAUCACUAAGAGAUGGUCCCGCGGUGUAUUAGUUAGUUGGUGAGGUAAUGGCUCACCAAGACAAUGAUACAUAGCCGAGUUGAGAGACUGACCGGCCACAAUGGGACUGAGACACGGCCCAUACUCCUACGGGAGCAGCAGUAGGGAAUCUUCCACAAUGGACGAAAGUCUGAUGGAGCAACGCCGCGUGUGUGAUGAAGGGUUUCGGCU